rnacentral:rRNA from 1 species
GAUGAACGCUGGCGGCGUGCCUAAUACACGCAAGUCGAGCGAAUGGAUUAAGAGCUUGCUCUUAUGAAGUUAGCGGCGGACGGGUGAGUAACACGUGGGUAACCUACCCAUAAGACUGGGAUAACUCCGGGAAACCGGGGCUAAUACCGGAUAACAUUUUGAACCGCAUGGUUCGAACUUGAAAGGCGGCUUCGGCUGUCACUUAUGGAUGGACCCGCGUCGCGGUAGCCAGUUGGUGAGGUAACGGCUCACCAAGGCAACGAUGCGUAGCCGACCUGGGAGGGUGAUCGGCCACACUGGGACUGAGACACGGCCCAGACUCCUACGGGAGGCAGCAGUAGGGAAUCUUCCGCAAUGGACGAAAGUCUGACGGAGCAACGCCGCGUGAGUGAUGAAGGCUUUCGGGUCGUAAAACUCUGUUGUUAGGGAAGAACAAGUGCUAGUUGAAUAAGCUGGCACCUUGACGGUACCUAACCAGAAAGCCACGGCUAACUACGUGCCAGCCGCCGCGGUAA